rnacentral:rRNA from 1 species
UAGGGAAUCUUCGGCAAUGGACGAAGGUCUGACCGAGCAACGCCGCGUGAGUGAAGAAGGUUUUCGGAUCGUAAAGCUCUGUUGUAAGAGAAGAACGGGUGUGAGAGUGGAAAGUUCACACUGUGACGGUAUCUUACCAGAAAGGGACGGCUAACUACGUGCCAGCAGCCGCGGUAAUACGUAGGUCCCGAGCGUUGUCCGGAUUUAUUGGGCGUAAAGCGAGCGCAGGCGGUUAGAUAAGUCUGAAGUUAAAGGCUGUGGCUUAACCAUAGUACGCUUUGGAAACUGUUUAACUUGAGUGCAGAAGGGGAGAGUGGAAUUCCAUGUGUAGCGGUGAAAUGCGUAGAUAUAUGGAGGAACACCGGUGGCGAAAGCGGCUCUCUGGUCUGUAACUGACGCUGAGGCUCGAAAGCGUGGGGAGCGAACAGGAUUAGAUACCCUGGUAGUCCACGCCGUAAACGAUGAGUGCUAGGUGUUAGGCCCUUUCCGGGGCUUAGUGCCGCAGCUAACGCAUUAAGCACUCCGCCUGGGGAGUACGACCGCAAGGUUG